rnacentral:rRNA from 1 species
UAAGGAAUAUUGGUCAAUGGACGCAAGUCUGAACCAGCCAUGCCGCGUGAAGGAUGAAGGUCCUCUGGAUUGUAAACUUCUUUUAUCUGGGACGAAAACGGGAUUUUUAUCCCAAUUGACGGUACCAGAGGAAUAAGCACCGGCUAACUCCGUGCCAGCAGCCGCGGUAAUACGGAGGGUGCGAGCGUUAUCCGGAUUUACUGGGUUUAAAGGGUGCGUAGGUGGGCUUAUAAGUCAGUGGUGAAAUCUCCGAGCUUAACUUGGAAACUGCCGUUGNUACUAUAGGUCUUGAAUUAUCUGGAGGUAAGCGGAAUAUGUUAUGUAGCGGUGAAAUGCUUAGAUAUGACAUAGAACACCAAUUGCGAAGGCAGCUUACUACAUAUAAAUUGACGCUGAGGCACGAAAGCGUGGGGAUCAAACA